AGCGAACGCUGCGGCAGGCCUAACACAUGCAAGUCGAACGAAGCCUUCGGGCUUAGUGGCGGACGGGUGAGUAACACGUGGGAACGUACCUUUUGGUUCGGAAUAACGCAGAGAAAUUUGCGCUAAUACCGAAUGAGCCCUUCGGGGGAAAGAUUUAUCGCCGAAAGAUCGGCCCGCGUUGGAUUAGGUAGUUGGUGUGGGAAAGGCGCACCAAGCCUACGAUCCAUAGCUGGUCUGAGAGGAUGAUCAGCCACACUGGGACUGAGACACGGCCCAGACUCCUACGGGAGGCAGCAGUGGGGAAUCUUGCGCAAUGGGCGAAAGCCUGACGCAGCCAUGCCGCGUGAAUGAUGAAGGUCUUAGGAUUGUAAAAUUCUUUUACCAGGGACGAUAAUGACGGUACCUGGAGAAAAAGCCCCGGCUAACUUCGUGCCAGCAGCCGCCGUAAUAC
rnacentral:rRNA from 1 species